rnacentral:rRNA from 1 species
CCUACGGGUGGCAGCAGUGAGGAAUAUUGGUCAAUGGACGAGAGUCUGAACCAGCCAAGUAGCGUGAAGGAUGACUGCCCUAUGGGUUGUAAACUUCUUUUAUAUGGGAAUAAAACGUUCCACGUGUGGGAUUUUGUAUGUACCAUAUGAAUAAGGAUCGGCUAACUCCGUGCCAGCAGCCGCGGUAAUACGGAGGAUCCGAGCGUUAUACGGAUUUAUUGGGUUUAAAGGGAGCGUAGGUGGAUUGUUAAGUCAGUUGUGAAAGUUUGCGGCUCAACCGUAAAAUUGCAGUUGAAACUGGCAGUCUUGAGUACAGUAGAGGUGGGCGGAAUUCGUGGUGUAGCGGUGAAAUGCUUAGAUAUCACGAAGAACUCCGAUUGCGAAGGCAGUUCACUGGACUGCAACUGACACUGAGGCUCGAAAGUGUGGGUAUCAAACAGGAUUAGAUACCCCAGUAGUC